GCCCUGGUGGUGAAAUUGGUAGACGCAAUGGACUCAAAAUCCAUCGACGAAAGUCGUGUCGGUUCGACUCCGACCCGGGGCACCA
rnacentral:tRNA from 1 species